rnacentral:tRNA from 1 species
GCGGGUAUAGUUGAAUGGUACAACUUCUCUUUGCCAAGGAGAAGGUGCGGGUUCGAUUCCCGCUAUCCGCC